rnacentral:rRNA from 1 species
CCUACGGGUGGCUGCAGUAGGGAAUCUUCCACAAUGGGCGAAAGCCUGACGCAGCAACGCCGCGUGGGUGAAGAAGGUCUUCGGAUCGUAAAACUCUGUUGUUAGAGAAGAAAGUGCGUGAGAGUAACUGUUCACGUUUCGACGGUACCUAACCAGAAAGCCACGGCUAACUACGUGCCAGCAGCCGCGGUAAUACGUAGGUGGCAAGCGUUAUCCGGAUUUAUUGUGCGUAAAGGGAACGCAGGCGGUCUUUUAAGUCUGAUGUGAAAGCCUUCGGCUUAACCGGGGUAGUGCAUUGGAAACUGGGAGACUUGAGUGCAGAAGAGGAGAGUGGAACUCCAUGUGUAGCGGUGAAAUGCGUAGAUAUAUGGAAGAACACCAGUGGCGAAAGCGGCUAUCUGGUCUGUAACUGACGCUGAGGUUCGAAAGCGUGGGUAGCAAACAGGAUUAGAUACCCCAGUAGUC